ensembl:lncRNA
AUUCUUGGCUAGUCUCCAGUGCCCCCAAGCCACUCUCACUGCUUCUCUUCAUUAGGAUGGCGGGAGAAAAUACAGUGGAAAAACUUGUGGACUACGAUAAGAACAGGCUGGGGUCUACUACAAACUGGCAGAUUGAGGCAAAGUAAGUGAAACCUUAUAAUCACAGGCCAUGGUUGUUAGCAAGGACCUUGUCUGGGGUGAAAUACUACAAUGCAUGUGUACUAGUUAGGUGCUUACUAGCUAUGUUGCUGCUCUGUAGAAAAGAACCAGGGGAUCCUAUUGAGCAAGCUGAAUGUAAGUCAGUGGGUGCAUCUUUGGUGAUGACGUUUAAACACACAGUGAGCUGGUAUUAAUAGAUAUAUAGCAAUUAGUCCUCUCUUGUAUCCCAAAAUCACAUAAUGUCUGUGGAUGCAAGGGACCUCUGGAGGUCUUCUUGUCCAACCCACUUCCCAAGAAGUGACAUUCAGAGCAACUUACCCUGCAGUACACAGGAGAGGUUUGUUGGAAAGAGCCUCCAAAAUAGCAUCUAGCUGGUCUCCUCUGUGUAAGGAAGACUUUAACAUAGCAGGGGCCACUAAAAGGACUGAAGCACAAGCUGUGUUAGGAGAGGCUGAGAGCUGUUGUGGUUUUUUUUGUUGUUGUUUUGUUUUGGGCUGUUGUUUUUUUCCUUAAGAAAACAGGCUAAGAGAAAAAUCUUACUGUCUUCAACUGCCUGAAGGGAGGAUAAAGCAAACUAGGUGCAUAGCAGAUGGCCAAUGAGCUAUUGUCACAAGCUGAGGUAAGGCAUAGAUUCUUGGAAAGAAUCUUAACAGCUAAGAUAUUCGGACAUUGGAACAAAUUGCUCAAAAAGGUGGUAGAAUUUUGGCCUGAAGUUACUCAAAGCUUAACUGAAUGACCAAUUUGAAUACCCCCAUCUAAUUUCAAAGUUGGCCCUGCUCUGAGCAGGAAAAAUGAUUUCUGUCAGUCACUUCUAUCCUAGAUUGUUUUGUUUCACUGACAGUGACAAUCUGACAAUUGUCAUAGAAUAAUCCCUAUAAUUUUGUAACAAACUUUAGCACUGUAAGUAUUUUUUUCUGAAAACAAAAUGCACGAUGACAACACUGCCUCUUGUGAAGUGAUGCACAGAGUUUGAGUGGUUGCUUCUAAUGUUAACUUUAAAAUAGUAGGAACAUACCAAGAGCCGUGUGAGAGUCUAGAGUAUACGGCUUUGUUUAGAAGUCAGUCUCUGUAAAGCAUGGGAAUGAGUAAAGAAUGAUUCUGAGAGGCAUAUUAAAACAUACUGGGAACUAACUACUUGUUCAUUUUAACAAUGUGAAACUGGGAUGCAUUACUUAAAUUAUUCAGAAAAUAUUACUGAAGUGUCACUAUGAAUAAAUACCACAGCUAUGACUGGUGUAAAAACAAAGAGGCAUAUUAAUUGGUUAAAAGCAAUUUAGAUUCAUGAACAGCAUGACACUACAUCUUAAAGUAAAAGACUCAGAAAUAUUUCUCCAGAUUAACUGAGUUUCAGUUAAUGAAAAGAUACCUCUUAAGUUGAUUAUUUGUAUAACUGAAAUGGCAGGAACUCCAUGAAGGAUAUUUCUUAAUCAAAAAGGCUAUGAUGUGAUCUCCAUUCAAACUUGACAGAAUUCAUUCACUGGAAUUAUUUUCUGAAGGCAUAAACAUCCUGAAAAAUAAAAACUAGACU